GACCUGGGAUGGGAAUCGAACCCACAGUGUUCCGCUUACCAGGCAGAUGCUAAGUCCACUAGGCUACCCUGGA